AUUGAACGCUGGCGGCAGGCCUAACACAUGCAAGUCGAACGAGUGGCGGACGGGUGAGUAAUGUCUGGGAAACUGCCUGAUGGUGGGGGAUAACUACUGGAAACGGUAGCUUAUACCGCAUACCCUCGGAUGUGCCCAAAUGGGACUAGCUCGUAGGUGGGGUAACGGCGCACCUAGGCGACGAUCCCUAGCUGGUCUGAGAGGAUGACCAGCCAAACAGGAACUGAGACACGGUCCAGACUCCUACGGGAGGCAGCAGUGGGGAAUAGUGAACAAUGGGCGAAAGCCUGAUGCAGCCAUGCCGCGUGUAUGAAGAAGGCCUUCGGGUUGUAAAGUACUUUCAGCGGGGGGGCGUUACCCGCAGAAGAAGCACCGGCUAACUCCGUGCCAGCAGCCGCGGUAAUAC
rnacentral:rRNA from 1 species